rnacentral:lncRNA from 1 species
CGCCGCCGCCGCCCCAGCCCCGCCCGCUUGCGGCCCCGUUCAGCAGCGCCAGCCUGCCUGACCGACGGACAGACACGCAGGACGCUCCUCCCAAGGAGCGCCCGCAGGCGAGGUCGAGACCCCGCUGGGCACCCCCGCCUCCAGGGACGCCGCCCCGGAGGGCUUCUCGGAGGCGGCGGCCUUGGCCUCAGGCCUGCGGGGUGGGGGGGCGGGAGGGGAGGCCGACAGCCCUCGCCGCCCGAGGAGACCUGGUAGCCAGCUGGGCAGGGACGCAGUGGAGCGGGUUGGAGUCUCGGCAGGGGCACAAGAGGGCGGGUGCAGGUAGCCACAGGGUAGAAGGAGCAGCAGCGGCGGCGACAGUCAGGGACGUCCUGGGAGGCAGGCGAGGGCGAAAAGCAGCCAGGCUGGCCCUCGGGGCUGCCCGCUUCCAGGGGCACCACAGGAGAGGGAUCAGCCUGAGCUGGACGCCUGGGGAGCCUCAGCCCGUGUUUUCCAGUUUCUCUACUCUGAUUGGUUUUCUGCCGCUGGUCCUGGAGCUGGCGCAAAAGCAUCCCGUCGCUAAUCCACCAGCUUCUCCAGGUGCCUGGUGAUGGCGGCCAUUCUCCUGAGGACAAGGCCCAAGGUGAGUGGGUGGCCCUCCCCCCCCAGUAUCUUCCCUCAGAGGUCUCCAAUGCCCCUCCAGAUUCUGGACCUUUCCAUUUUACUCAGGAGAGCUUAGGCUAGCCUCAGCAUCAUGCCCCUUUCCUGAGUGCCACAAAGUAGGUGUCCUGACUU